CCUACGGGAGGCAGCAGUGAGGAAUAUUGGUCAAUGGGCGCGAGCCUGAACCAGCCAAGUAGCGUGAAGGAUGACUGCCCUACGGGUUGUAAACUUCUGUUAUAAAGGAAUAAAGUGAGGCACGUGUGCCUUUUUGUAUGUACUUUAUGAAUAAGGAUCGGCUAACUCCGUUCCAGCAGCCGCGGUAAUACGGAGGAUCCGAGCGUGAUCCGGAUUUAUUGGGUUUAAAGGGAGCGUAGAUGGGUUGUUAAGUCAGGUGUGAAAGUUUGCGGCGCAACCGUAAAAUUGCAAUUGAUACUGGGAGUCUUGAGUACAGUUGAGGUAGGCGGAAUUCGUGGUGUAGCGGUGAAAUGCUUAGAUAUCACGAAGAACUCCGAUUGCGAAGGCAGCUUACUAAACUGCAACUGACAUUGAUGCUCGAAGGUGUGGGUAUCAAACAGGAUUAGAUACCCGAGUAGUC
rnacentral:rRNA from 1 species